rnacentral:rRNA from 1 species
ACUCCUACGGGAGGCAGCAGUGGGGAAUUGUUCACAAUGGGCGCAAGCCUGAUGACGCAACGCCGCGUGGGGGAUGAAGGUCUUCGGAUCGUAAACCCCUGUCGAAUGGGACGAAAGACCCGGGAGCUAAUCAUCCCGGGAGUGACGGUACCGUUAAAGGAAGCCACGGCUAACUCUGUGCCAGCAGCCGCGGUAAUACAGAGGUGGCAAGCGUUGUUCGGAAUUACUGGGCGUAAAGGGCGCGUAGGCGGCCUUCUAAGUCAGACGUGAAAUCCCCCGGCUUAACCUGGGAACUGCGUCUGAUACUGGGAGGCUAGAGUAUGGGAGAGGGAUGUAGAAUUCCAGGUGUAGCGGUGAAAUGCGUAGAUAUCUGGAGGAAUACCGGUGGCGAAGGCGGCAUCCUGGACCAUUACUGACGCUGAGGCGCGAAAGCUAGGGGAGCAAACGGGAUUAGAUACCCCGGUAGUCCUAGCCCUAAACGAUGAAUGCUUGGUGUGGCGGGUAUCGAUCCCUGCCGUGCCGAAGCUAACGCAUUAAGCAUUCCGCCUGGGGAGUACGGUCGCAAGGCUGAAUCUCAAAGGAAUUGACGGGGGCCCGCACAAGCGGUGGAGCAUGUGGUUCAAUUCGACGCAACGCGAAGAACCUUACCUGGGCUCGAAAUGCAGAUGACAUCCGGUGAAAGCCGGCUCCCGCAAGGGCAUCUGUAGAGGUGCUGCAUGGCUGUCGUCAGCUCGUGUCGUGAGAUGUUGGGUUAAGUCCCGCAACGAGCGCAACCCUCGUCCUCUGUUGCCAUCAGGUCAAGCUGGGCACUCUGAGGAGACUGCCGGUGAUAAACCGGAGGAAGGUGGGGAUGACGUCAAGUCAGCAUGGCCUUUAUGUCCAGGGCCACACACGUGCUACAAUGGCGGAUACAAAGCGCUGCAAACCCGCGAGGGUGAGCCAGUCGCAUAAAGUCCGUCUCAGUUCGGAUUGCAGGCUGCAACUCGCCUGCAUGAAGUUGGAAUCGCUAGUAA